rnacentral:rRNA from 1 species
UACGUAGGGUGCGAGCGUUUGUCCGGAAUUAUUGGGCGUAAAGGGCUCGUAGGCGGUCUGUCACGUCGAAAGUGAAAACUCAGGGCUUAACCCUGAGCCUGCUUCCGAUACGGGCAGACUAGAGGUAUGCAGGGGAGAAUGGAAUUCCUGGUGUAGCGGUGAAAUGCGCAGAUAUCAGGAGGAACACCAGUGGCGAAGGCGGUUCUCUGGGCAUUACCUGACGCUGAGGAGCGAAAGUGUGGGGGAGCGAACAGG